UACGGAGGGGGCUAGCGUUGUUCGGAAUUACUGGGCGUAAAGCGCACGUAGGCGGCUUUGUAAGUUAGAGGUGAAAGCCCAGGGCUUAACCCUGGAAUUGCCUUUAAGACUGCAUCGCUAGAAUUGUGGAGAGGUGAGUGGAAUUCCGAGUGUAGAGGUGAAAUUCGUAGAUAUUGGGAAGAACACCGGUGGCGAAGGCGGCUCACUGGCUCAGUUACUGACGCUCGAGGCGACGGAUAGCCGUGGGGAUCAAACAGG
rnacentral:rRNA from 1 species